UGGGCAACCAAGGAAACAAGGAAGGAAGUCGCAGGCAGAGCUCCCAUACACACCAGCAAGACACCCUCCCUAGCACCAGCUCCUGUAGCAAAUUCUUCCCAGGGCCAGCCAAGCCCUGCUCCCCUUUGCUGAAGGGAAGACUUCCUUCCGAAGGCUCCAGGGAAUCCAGGACCAAGCUGGAGACAGGACGCUGGCUUCUCUGCUCAGCCGGGGCCUGGAUCUGUAGGUAGGUGUGGCCGCGUGACCAAGUUCUGGCCAGUGGGUGUGAGCAAAACUGAUGCGCAACUCCUGGGUCACGCGCUUCGAGGUUGUUUCUUUUAAUGGAAACACCUAAAUGUCCAUCAAAGAGAGAGUGAGCCACACUAACUCUGUACAACUAAGGACGUGAAGUCAUUAAAAGAAGAACGAAAUAGAUGUAUGGACACUGACCUGGAACGACGUCCUGAGACAACAUUAACAUGAAAAAGGCAAGCGGCAGGAGAGUGUAGAAGACACUGGGGUUUGCUGGGUUUCCAGGAACAAGUCACUUCCUCCCUCUCCUGGAGAAGCUGCCAGUGACGCAUUUGCCCUUACCUUGGACGGUGUGGUCUGUGGAUGGAGGUCCGGAACUGUGGUAGCCUUUUUCCAGGAGAGACGACUCCAGAGCUGCCGAGGGGGGGAGGGGAGCAAACACUGAAGGGAGUCUAUCAAGAAAGGCAAUAGACAUCAAAAGACAGAAAAGAGGGGCCAGCCUGGUGGCACAGUGGUUAAGUUCGCACUUUCCGCUUCAGUGGCCCGAGGUUCACCCAUUCAGAUCCCAGAUGUGGACCUUUUCACCACUUGUCAAGCCAUGCUGUGGCAGGCGUCCCACAUAUAAUGUAGAGGAAGAUGGGCACGGAUGUUAGUGCAGGGCCAGUCUUCCUCAGCAAAAAGAGGAGGAUUUGUGGCAGAUGUUAGCUCAGGGCUAAUCUUCCUCUAAAAAAACCAAAAAGACAGAAAAGAGAGAGAGCCAGGUCUGAGGGGACACUGAGUAGCUGGAACAAGUCUUAACUGAAGUCGGCAUUGUAUCUAGACUUGUGCUGUUACUGAGCUUCAAACUCCAUGUUGUUUGUUGGUUUAAGUCCGUUUUAGCUAGGUUUUCUUUCGCUUUAAAAAGAAGAUUCCUUAAAAGGGUCUUUAUCAUAGCUUUAUUUAUAAGCAAAAUAUUACAAAAUCUAAGUUUCCUUAAAAAAAGAUUAGUUAAGGAAGCGAUGAUGGUACUUCUAACCAUGAAAUACAAUGUAGCCAAAAUUUUUUUAAAAAUACACUAGAUGUAGUGAUAUGAAAAGAUCUGGCCAAGACAUAUCGUUAAGUGAAAAUAAGAAACGCAGAGGAUUAGGGAAAGUAUGCUUCUGUUUGUGUGAGGACAAAAUACUGUAUAAACUUACAUGUUUCUAACGAUGCUUGAAAUAUCUCUUGAAAGAUACUCAAGAAAUUGAUAACAGUGGGGCCCUGACUAGCAAGGAAACUGAGGCGAGAAGGAGGCUUAUUUUUCACUGCAUCCCUUUUUUCCUUUUUGAGUUUUAAGCUAUGUGUAUGUGAUAUCGGUUCAAAACAUGUUGGCUGAAAAAAUUUGAAAAGAAGAUGACUCCUAAAUGAUAGAGUAUGUACCCAGGAAUAUUUCUAACUGUCACAUGCAC
rnacentral:lncRNA from 1 species